UACGUAGGUGGCGAGCGUUGUCCGGAUUUAUUGGGCUUAAAGGGUGCGUAGGCGGUCUUAUAAGUCAGUGCUGAAAUAUCCCGGCUUAAGCGGGAGGGUGGCAUUGAUACUGUAAGACUUGAGUAAAGUUGAGGUGGGCGGAAUUGACGGUGUAGCGGUGAAAUGCUUAGAUAUCGUCAAGAACACCGAUUGCGAAGGCAGCUCACUAAGCUUUAACUGACGCUGAGGCACGAAAGUGUGGGGAUCAAACAGG
rnacentral:rRNA from 1 species